rfam:Gossypium raimondii Chr11_contig_15, whole genome shotgun sequence.
UAUUAAAAUUUUUAUUUAUUUCUACUAUUAAAAACUAGCGUAAUUGACAGUAACAAACAAUUACACGUGGCUUGCCACAUGUGCCUCAUUCUAAGACAGAAUUAAUUUUUAACAGUAAAAAUAGAUAAAAUUUUUAAUA